AGCAGCCGCGGUAAUUCCAGCUCCAAUAGCGUAUAUUAAAGUUGUUGCAGUUAAAAAGCUCGUAGUUGAAUUUCGGGAUCAAUUGAUUGGUCAUGCCUACGGUAUGUACUAGUCAUAUUGGUUCUCACCUUCUAAUGAACCUUAAUGUCAUUCACUUGAUGUUUUGGGGAAUUAGGACUGUUACCUUGAAAAAUUAGAGUGUUUAAAGCAGGCUUACGCUUGAAUACAUUAGCAUGGAAUAAUGAAAUAGGACAUCGCAUUCUAUUUUGUUGGUUUCUAGGAUCGAUGUAAUGAUUAAUAGGGAUAGUUGGGGGCAUUAGUAUUCAAUUGUCAGAGGUGAAAUUCUUGGAUUUAUUGAAGACUAACUACUGCGAAAGCAUUUGCCAA
rnacentral:sRNA from 1 species